GCACGCUCGGGAGACCUCCGCGGGCCAGCGAGUGUGGGUUUCGUUCCCUGUCAUUUUUUUCUCCACCUCCUCCUCGUCCUGCUGGGAGGAGCGGGGGUUGUGUCCCCCGGGACCCGCGUGGUCCCCUAACACCCCUUGCGGCCGUCGGCCCUGAAACUAACGCUCCGCCUGAGGAAAUUCGUUUCCUGGCGCGCACGCCGCAGGCGAGUGCCGCGGUCGCCAGGUUUCCUCAGUGGUGAUCUUUCCAAGUGGCGGAGUGCCUAAACAAUGGCAAUUUAGGAGCAGCCUGCGAAACCUGCAUUCACGUCUUCACCCACCUUCAGGGAUCUUGUCUGCUGUGUUCCACAUCAGUUACCAGGACCAGAAGCCAGUACAAUGCCCACCAUGUGGUAGGUGCUCAGUAACCAAGUGUUGAAUUAAAGACUAAUAAUAAUAGUAUUGAACCUUUCCUGGGCACUUACGAUAUGUAAGGCACCACCGCUACUUUAGAGAUGAAGAAGCAGGCUCCGAGAGGCUGAGGAAUUUGCCCCAAGUCGUACAGCUGUGCACCGUUUCACGUGAUGGGGACCCGAGGCUCAGAAAGGCAGCUUGACUCUGCGGCAGGUACUAUGACCUUUAAGGAGCAGAGGAUUCACAAAUGUGCAGAGAAGAAAGUCUGUUGAUGGGCUUCACUGUCUUAUCGCUCCUUCAAUAAAAUCCAGGAGCCCAGGAGUGUUCCUGGGAACCCUUGGCACUUGAAGCAUAAAGAUGGUCCACCCCUCCUCUCUCCUGCUGCCCUGUUGGACGCACUCCUCCAGGACUACAGCGAUGGUCACUCUAGAAAGAUAACUCUCUUUGGCUUCCCCAGCUCCACCUUUGGUUUCUUUGGCUCUAGCCUCAUGUCUGGCACUAUCUGUUAAAACAUUUCCCCCCGUAAGUCCUAAUACCAAACUCCCCACCUGUACCCCCUUUUCUUUUCAUCCCCCACAAACAGCUACCUUUUUAUUUAACCUCUGUAUAUGUUUUCCCGAAGCCUUAGUCAUACUCAUCCACCACCUCUUCCCAACAGAAACCUUCCAUUGACCUUGCUCGAGCAUGUCUUGGGUUUCCUUCCCUGUAUGCCUUUACCGAUCUCCCUGAGAAUCGCCUCCACCCACGGAUCCUCCCUUCGCCCAUGGCCCUCCCAGACCACCACACGGUAGAGGUCAUGCCUUCUUCACAAAGUCUUCCAAACGCUCAGCAAGCAGUCCCAAACACCUGAAUCCUUCAGGCAGCAUCAGUGCGAGAUCCCAUGUUUCACUGUGCAGACCUGGACUCCACUGUAUGUCGUUCACGGUAUGUAGUUCAGUAGCUGCUUCAAUGACUGACACCUACUUUAUUUAUUUAUGUAUUUAUUUAUUUUAGUCCUCAC